CUCCAGAGAAAGAAAUGUUGGUGUUGGAUGGAUGUGAAUCAAAGCAUAUGAUCUUUCUCGGUGUAUAUGACUUUAUUUUGGAGUUUUGCUUAUGUAUAGGCAUGCUCUUACAACAAUGACCUCUUAAUAGGGAAGCGUUUUGUAUGAUAAUAAAAACAAAAUUUUGAAAUUUAAAUUAUAACUUUAUUUUGGAUUUCCACAAGGAAAUAAGCAAAGAAGCCUCAUCUUACCAAUGUUGUCAAAAUGCAAUUAAAAACUUUUAACAAACUUGAAUUGUGGCAUCUUACUUUAUUUUGGAUUAUUGAGAAAUGUGUCUAAUGUCAGUAAGUUAAGACUUCUAGAACUUCUGAUAGCAUCGAUCACCACCCUGGAAAAGGGAAAAAAAGGAAAAGCUACCAACGAGCAUAAUCGUUGCAGAAAUCAACUAAUAACUCUAGAAAAACAGAGGAAUUCAAUCGCUCUAAUAACUACGCCUGCUUUGCAUGAAAAUAGUUAACAACUUUAUUGCCUAAAAACUCACCUCGCAACACCGAUGCCACCCCAACAUUCAGUACUGCUAUUUAUACAAAUAGUUGUCUCCCAAAGGGAGGUGCACCGUUCCCGGAAGUACUGCAAUACCAGGUCGAUGCGUGGAGUGGACGGAGCAAGCUCCUAUUCCAUCUCCCUGUUCCAAAAAUCCAUUUAAUAUAUUGUCCUCGGAUAGAGGACAAUAUAUUAAAUGGAUUUUUGGAACAGGGAGAUGGAAUAGGAGCUUGCUCCGUCCACUCCACGCAUCGACCUGGUAUUGCAGUACUUCCGGGAACGGUGCAUCUCCCUCACGGGAGAACAUUUUGUUGAAAAAACAGAAAAAUACUUAUACCUUUUUUACGGGUCUUUAUAAGCUUUUUUUCUUAAUGUGUUAUUUACAUUACCCAUGGGUUCUUUCAGUGCGUUUUUUCGCUUUACUAUGAUGUUAUGUUUUUUGUAAGAAAUAAUUAUAAAGCUUGUUAAACUCAUCCGUCUAUUUCAUCAACUUUAAUUUUCUUUUUCGGGAAGAUGUUAUAAUUGCCAUCUCUAAAUUAUUUUCUCUUUAUUAUUCAUUGUGGUUCGAAUCCCUUUCGCCCCAUGCAGCUUUUUUUUCUUUUAAUUUCUUUUUCCCAAGAGGCAGGUUCUCCGUGGUAAAAAAAAAUGUAAAUAGCCAGGUGUGUUUAUUUGCCGAGUUUCAGGCUCAGACCUUCCUUCAAAGCCUUGGGGUGCUUCAGACACUGAGACAUACACAUGCACACGUCCGUGUCUAAAAGAAGAAAGCUGAUUUUCCACAUGUAACUUGACAGUCACAGUCUUUGUGGAUUGGAGUGGUUGGAGUGAAGAUUUAGCAUGAAUGGAUGAUUGGUAUUAAGAGCAGAAGAAACUUGUUCCCCAGCCUCAAACCCACUGCCCCUCCCAGUCUCCCCUUUCUGCCUAGCUAAUUCCAUGACAAGUACACCCUGGGAGAAAGAUGUAAAAUCCCACCCUGAGACCCUAAAGCACUGGAUCCUUGAACAAAGAUAAAGACAACGGGUGAACAACAUCCCUGCUGCUCUUCCCUCACCAUAGGAAGAAUAAAGUAUUUGGGACUCAAAACUGCUGAAAGAAU
rnacentral:lncRNA from 1 species